rnacentral:rRNA from 1 species
ACUGCUCAGUAACACGUAGUUAAUCUACUCUAAGGUCAGGCAUACCCUCGGGAAACUGAGGCUAACACCUGAUAAAAUAUACUCUCUGGAAUGAUAUAUAUUUGAAAUUCGUGCCUUAGAAUGAGACUGCGGCGGAUUAGGUUGUUGGCGGGGUAAAAGCCCACCAAGCCAGUGAUCCGUAAGGGCUCUUAGCGGAGAAGCCCUGAGAGGGAAUCUGAGACACUAUUCCCAGCCCUACGGGGUGCAGCAGUUAAGAAUAUUCUGCAAUGCGCGAAAGCGUGACAGAGUGAAUCAGAGUGAUUUUCAAUGAAAAUCUUUUGUGUAGUGUAAAAAGCUAUACGAAUAAGGACUGGGUAAGACGAGUGCCAGCCGCCGCGGUAAUACUCGCGGUCCAAGUCGCAGCCAUUUUUAUUGGGUCUAAAACAUCCGUAGCUUGUUUAAUAAGUUCUUUGUGAAAUCCUAUAUCUCAAAUAUAGAACGCGCAGAGAAUACUGUUAAGCUAGAGACUGGAAGACGUGAAAAGUACGAUUGAGGUAGCGGUAAAAUGUUUUAAUCUUAAUUGGACUAACAAGAGCGAAGGCAUUUCACGAGGACAGUUCUGACAGUAAGGGAUGAAGGCCAGGGGCGCAAAACGGAUUAGAUACCCGUGUAGUCCUGGCAGUAAACACUGCACACUAAACAUUAGUGCCUCCUCGAGAGGCAUUAGUGCUGUAGGGAAGCCGAAGAGUGUGCUACCUGGGAAGUAUAGUCGCAAGGCCGAAACUUAAAGGAAUUGGCGGGGGAG